GCGGAGGCUUAAUACAUGCAGGUCGAGGGGCAGCGCAGGUAGCAAUACUGGGCGGCGACCGGCAAACGGGUGCGGAACACGUACACAACCUUCCUACAAGUGGGGAAUAGCCCAGAGAAAUUUGGAUUAAUACCCCGUAACAUAGCGAUGUGGCAUCACAUUGUUAUUAUAGCUUCGGCGCUUGUUGAUGGGUGUGCGGCUGAUUAGAUAGUUGGCGGGGUAACGGCCCACCAAGUCUACGAUCAGUAGCUGAUGUGAGAGCAUGAUCAGCCACACGGGCACUGAGACACGGGCCCGACUCCUACGGGAGGCAGCAGUAAGGAAUAUUGGUCAAUGGACGAAAGUCUGAACCAGCCAUGCCGCGUGAAGGAUUAAGGUCCUCUGGAUUGUAAACUUCUUUUAUCUGGGACGAAAAAAGGCGAUUCUUCGCCACUUGACGGUACCAGUUGAAUAAGCACCGGCUAACUCCGUGCCAGCAGCCGCGGUAAUACGGAGGGUGCAAGCGUUAUCCGGAUUCACUGGGUUUAAAGGGUGCGUAGGCGGGCAGGUAAGUCAGUGGUGAAAUCCUAGAGCUUAACUCUAGAACUGCCAUUGAUACUAUCUGUCUUGAAUAUUGUGGAGGUAAGCGGAAUAUGUCAUGUAGCGGUGAAAUGCUUAGAUAUGACAUAGAACACCUAUUGCGAAGGCAGCUUACUACGCAUAUAUUGACGCUGAGGCACGAAAGCGUGGGGGAUCAAACAGGAUUAGAUACCCUGGUAGUCCACGCCCUAAACGAUGAUUACUCGAC
rnacentral:rRNA from 1 species